rnacentral:rRNA from 1 species
UGGGGAAUAUUGCACAAUGGGCGCAAGCCUGAUGCAGCAACGCCGCGUGAACGAUGAAGGUCUUCGGAUCGUAAAGUUCUGUUGCAGGGGAAGAUAAUGACGGUACCCUGUGAGGAAGCCCCGGCUAACUACGUGCCAGCAGCCGCGGUAAUACGUAGGGGGCUAGCGUUAUCCGGAUUUACUGGGCGUAAAGGGUGCGUAGGUGGUCUUUCAAGUUGGUGGUUAAAGGCUACGGCUCAACCGUAGUUAGCCUCCGAAACUGGAAGACUUGAGUGCAGGAGAGGAAAGUGGAAUUCCCAGUGUAGCGGUGAAAUGCGUAGAUAUUGGGAGGAACACCAGUAGCGAAGGCGGCUUUCUGGACUGCAACUGACACUGAGGCACGAAAGCGUGGGUAGCAAACAGG